rnacentral:rRNA from 1 species
AUUGAACGCUGGCGGCAGGCUUAACACAUGCAAGUCGAGCGGGGGAAGGUAGCUUGCUACUGGACCUAGCGGCGGACGGGUGAGUAAUGCUUAGGAAUCUGCCUAUUAGUGGGGGACAACAUCUCGAAAGGGAUGCUAAUACCGCAUACGUCCUACGGGAGAAAGCAGGGGAUCUUCGGACCUUGCGCGAAUAGAUGAGCCUAAGUCGGAUUAGCUAGUUGGUGGGGUAAAGGCCUACCAAGGCGACGAUCUGUAGCGGGUCUGGCAGGAUGCACGGCCACACUGGGACUGAGACACGGCCCAGACUCCUACGGGAGGCAGCAGUGGGGAAUAUUGGACAAUGGGGGGAACCCUGAUCCAGCCAUGCCGCGUGUGUGAAGAAGGCCUUAUGGUUGUAAAGCACUUCAAGCGAGGAGGAGGCUACUUUAGUUAAUACCUAGAGAUAGUGGACGUUACUCGCAGAAUAAGCACCGGCUAACUCUGUGCCAGCCGCCGCCGUAA